rnacentral:rRNA from 1 species
GUAGAGGAUGCUUCGGGGCAGCGGCCGGUCUAAGUUCCUUGGAACAGGACGUCAUAGAGGGUGAGAAUCCCGUAUGCGACCGGCUGGCACCCCACACGUAGCUCCUUCGACGAGUCGAGUUGUUUGGGAAUGCAGCUCUAAAUGGGAGGUAAAUUUCUUCUAAAGCUAAAUACCGGCCAGAGACCGAUAGCGCACAAGUAGAGUGAUCGAAAGAUGAAAAGCACUUUGGAAAGAGAGUUAAAAAGCACGUGAAAUUGUUGAAAGGGAAGCGCAAGCAACCAGACUUGUCGGCGGUGUUCACCCGGUCUUCUGACCGGGCUACUCGCCGCCGGCAGGCCAACAUCACCUGGGGCCGCCGGAUAAAGGUGUCGGGAAUGUAGCUCCCCUCGGGGAGUGUUAUAGCCCGGCGCACAAUACGGUGCGCCCCGAGUGAGGUCCGCGCUUCGGCUAGGAUGUUGGCGUAAUGGUCGUUUGCGGCCCGUCUUGAAACACGGACCAAGGAGUCUACCAUCUAUGCGAGUGUUCGGGUGUUAAACCCCUACGCGGAAUGAAAGUGAACGGAGGUGGGAACUUUAUUGUGCACCAUCGACCGAUCCUGAUGUCUUCGGAUGGAUUUGAGUAAGAGCAUAGCUGGUGGGACCCGAAAGAUGGUGAACUAUACCUGAAUAGGGUGAAGCCAGAGGAAACUCUGGUGGAGGCUCGCAGCGGUUCUGACGUGCAAAUCGAUCGUCAAAUUUGGGUAUAGGGGCGAAAGAC